rnacentral:rRNA from 1 species
GAUGAACGCUGGCGGCGUGCCUAACACAUGCAAGUCGAGCGGACGGACGCGGAGCUUGCUUGUCUGAUGUUAGGGGCGGACGAGUGAUUAAUAAGAGGAUAAUAUCCUUCUCCGUCUGGCAUAAUUACGGGAUAACGGAGCGAAUACUAGAUGAUAUUCUGAACCUCUCGGAUCAUAGGUCUGAGACGGUUUUGCUGUCACUUGUAGAUGGAUCCGCGCUGCAUUAGCUAGUUGGUAGGGUGAUGGCUUACCAAGGCGGCGAUGCAUAGCCGACCUGAGAGGGUGAUCGGCCACACUGGAAGUGAGACACCGUCCACACGACUACGAGAGGCAGCAGUAGGGAAUAUUACGCAACAGUCGGAAGCAUGACGCAGCAACGCCGCGGGGGUGAUGAAGGACUUCGGAUCGUAAAGAACUGUUAUUGGGGAAGAAGAUAUGUGGAAUUAACUGUGGAUGGCUUGACGGUACCUGGACAAGAAGCCCCGGCUAACUACGUG